rnacentral:lncRNA from 1 species
UGGUACGAAUAUACGGCAUCUCAGUUUCGGUGCUAGGAGCCCAUGGAACCGAAGGGAACUUGAGGGGCUCCAGUUGGGUCGUUCCAGCCGGGCGCCGGGCGCGUGGGUCCCACAGGAGUGUGUCGGCGGCGGGGUUUUCGGGAAGCAGGGGACUACAGCAAUGAGCCAGCGCAGCGCAUGACGAUGUCUAGAGCGUUGCAUAACGGUGUACAAGUCCAGCCGCAUUUGGUACGCCCUCCUUUUAUCCCCAGAAUCGGCCCCAGACUCGUUCAGGCACCCGUGCGCACACCCGUCCUCAGGUUCGCUACAUGGAGGGGCGCCGCUGCUUUGGCCUGCCCUGGAUGCCGCCCGUAAAGGCCAAACCCAAGGUCCACGGGUCUGCAUGCGACCCGCGGAUUAUCCAUGGCAGCGACAUCCCCACCAUGCCGCCCUCCUCCUUCGUGCCCUGCUAUUUGUUCGUGGUGCGGCCCAACCUGGUUCAGCAUGUGGGCGCCUCCAGUGCGCUGUUUGGGGAGUUGUCGACGCGCUUCCACAUGUCCACCACAUU